rnacentral:rRNA from 1 species
AUUGAACGCUGGCGGCAGGCUUAACACAUGCAAGUCGAACGAGCGGCGGACGGGUGAGCAAUGUAUGGGGAUCUGCCUGAGGGAGGGGGAUAACUACUGGAAACGGUAGCUAAUACCGCAUACCAUCAGAUGAACCCAUAUGGGAUGAGCUUGUAGGUGAGGUAACGGCUCACCUAGGCGACGAUCCCUAGCUGGUCUGAGCGGAUGAUCUGCCACCCUGGGACUGAGACACGGCCCAUAUGCCUACGGGAGGCAGCGGUGGGUAAUAUUGCCCUGUGGGCGCAAGCUUGAUGCAGCCAUGCCGCGUGUAUGAAGAAGGCCUUCGGGUUGUAAAGUACUUUCAGCGAGGAGGCGUAACCCGCAGAUGAAGCACCGGCUACCUCCUGGCCAGCAGCCGCGGUAAUU